AAGCCAGACUCCUACGGGAGGCAGCAGUAGGGAAUAUUGCUCAAUGGGGGAAACCCUGAACCAGCAACGCCGCGUGAGGGAAGACGGUUUUCGGAUUGUAAACCUCUGUCCUCUGUGAAGAUAAUGACGGUAGCGGAGGAGGAAGCUCCGGCUAACUACGUGCCAGCAGCCGCGGUAAUACGUAGGGAGCAAGCGUUGUCCGGAUUUACUGGGUGUAAAGGGUGCGUAGGCGGCCCUGCAAGUCAGAAGUGAAAUCCAUGGGCUUAACCCGUGAACUGCUUUUGAAACUGUAGGGCUUGAGUGAAGUAGAGGCAGGCGGAAUUCCCGGUGUAGCGGUGAAAUGCGUAGAGAUCGGGAGGAACACCAGUGGCGAAGGCGGCCUGCUGGGCUUUAACUGACGCUGAAGCACGAAAGCGUGGGUAGCAAACAGGAUUAGAUACCCUGGUACCC
rnacentral:rRNA from 1 species